CAGCCGCCGCGGGAAUACGGAGGGUGCAAGCGUUGUUCGGAAUUAUUGGGCGUAAAGGGUGCGUAGGCGGUUUGAUAAGUCAUCUGUGAAAUCUCUGGGCUCAACCCAGAGUCUGCAGGCGAAACUGUCGAGCUUGAGUAUUGGAGAGGUGAGUGGAAUUUCCGGUGUAGCGGUGAAAUGCGUAGAUAUCGGAAGGAACACCUGUGGCGAAAGCGGCUCACUGGACAAUUACUGACGCUGAUGCACGAAAGCUAGGGGAGCAAACAGGAUUAGAUACCCCCGUAGUCCCUGUCUCUUAUAC
rnacentral:rRNA from 1 species